rnacentral:rRNA from 1 species
GAGUUUGAUCCUGGCUCAGAUUGAACGCUGGCGGCAGGCCUAACACAUGCAAGUCGAACGGUAACAGGAAGAAGCUUGCUUCUUUGCUGACGAGUGGCGGACGGGUGAGUAAUGUCUGGGAAACUGCCUGAUGGAGGGGGAUAACUACUGGAAACGGUAGCUAAUACCGCAUAACGUCGCAAGACCAAAGAGGGGGACCUUCGGGCCUCUUGCCAUCGGAUGUGCCCAGAUGGGAUUAGCUAGUAGGUGGGGUAACGGCUCACCUAGGCGACGAUCCCUAGCUGGUCUGAGAGGAUGACCAGCCACACUGGAACUGAGACACGGUCCAGACUCCUACGGGAGGCAGCAGUGGGGAAUAUUGCACAAUGGGCGCAAGCCUGAUGCAGCCAUGCCGCGUGUAUGAAGAAGGCCUUCGGGUUGUAAAGUACUUUCAGCGGGGAGGAAGGGAGUAAAGUUAAUACCUUUGCUCAUUGACGUUACCCGCAGAAGAAGCACCGGCUAACUCCGUGCCAGCAGCCGCGG